rnacentral:rRNA from 1 species
CCUACGGGAGGCAGCAGUAAGGAAUAUUGGUCAAUGGGCGCAAGCCUGAACCAGCCAUGCCGCGUGCAGGAAGACGGCCCUAUGGGUUGUAAACUGCUUUUGAACAAGAGAAAACCUCGGUACGUGUACCGAGCUGAUAGUAUUGUUAGAAUAAGCAUCGGCUAACUUCGUGCCAGCAGCCGCGGUAAGACGAAGGAUGCAAGCGUUAUCCGGAUUCAUUGGGUUUAAAGGGUGCGUAGGCGGCCUGAUAAGUCAGUGGUGAAAUCUCUCAGCUUAACUGAGAAACUGCCAUUGAUACUGUCGGGCUUGAGUACAGAUGAUGUGGGCGGAAUAUGACAUGUAGUGGUGAAAUACUUAGAUAUGUCAUAGAACACCGAUUGCGAAGGCAGCUCACAAAACUGUAACUGACGCUGAGGCACGAAAGUGCGGGGAUCAAACAGGAUUAGAUACCCUGGUAGUCCGCACCGUAAACGAUGAUUACUCGUUGUUGGCAAUAUGACCGUCAGCGACCAAGCGAAAGCGANAAGUAAUCCACCUGGGGAGUACGCCGGCAACGGUGAAACUUAAAGGAAUUAGACGG